rnacentral:rRNA from 1 species
CGUGUAGGCGGAUGGGAACGUCGGAUACUGAAAGCCCCCGGCUCAACCGGGGAAGUGGUUCCGAAACGACCUGUCUGGAGGGACGUAGGGGGAUCUGGAACUUCCGGUGGAGCGGUGAAAUGCGUUGAGAUCGGAAGGAACGCCCGUGGCGAAAGCGAGGUCCUGGACGUCUGCUGACGCUGAGACGCGAAAGCUAGGGGAGCAAACGGGAUUAGAUACCCCGGUAGUCCUAGCCGUAAACGAUGGGCACUGGGUAGGGGCUCGCCGAUGGGCUCUCUGCCGUAGCGAAAGCGUGAAGUGCCCCGCCUGGGGAGUAUGGUCGCAAGGCUGAA